CCUGAAACCGUGUACGUACAAGCAGUAGGAGCAGGCUUUGUCCUGUGACUGCGUACCUUUUGUAUAAUGGGUCAGCGACUUAUAUUCAGUGGCAAGGUUAACCAUCUAGGGGAGCCGUAGGGAAACCGAGUCUUAACUGGGCGUUCAGUCUCUGGAUAUAGACCCGAAACCAGGUGAUCUAGCCAUGGGCAGGUUGAAGGUUGAGUAACAUCAACUGGAGGACCGAACCGACUAAUGUUGAAAAAUUAGCGGAUGAC
rnacentral:rRNA from 1 species